UAUCGUAAAAAUAAAACUAAUUAAGAAAGGGAAAACAAAAAUUUUUAUCGAUCAUGGGGCGAAGAAGUUAUAUUGAUGUGCUGGUUAGGCUAGUAAUCAAUUUGUGUUUAGCUACAUUUGGUCUUCAACGUGUGUGUGUUUUUAGCUAUGUCUCUCAAUUUUUAAGAGAAACGUAAUAAAUACAGAGCUAUAUUUGGUGUGAAGAAUGAUUGGGCCACGAAGAUAGUAGGUAAAAUUGUGUGGCUCGCAGGACUCGACGAUAAGAAUCUCUUCGACAUCACUUCUUCGGGUAAGGUUUGAUUGGUGCUCCUCAGUAGAAUAAUAAAGGGCACAACAAAAAGGUGGGAAAUAAAUGAACCAAGUAUGUUUAUUAGGGUUUUGGUGUAGUAAUUAGUUUGGGGCGUUUCAACAAGUUUGCGCUUUUGCUUUUUGAAGUUACAUAUCCGUUUCAGAUAAAUAAAUUA
rnacentral:lncRNA from 1 species